rnacentral:rRNA from 1 species
UACGUAGGGGGCAAGCGUUGUCCGGAAUCAUUGGGCGUAAAGCGCGUGUAGGCGGCCAGAAAAGUCCGCUGUGAAAACUCGAGGCUCAACUUCGAGCUGUCGGUGGAAACUUUCUGGCUAGAGUCCGGAAGAGGAGAAUGGAAUUCCUGGUGUAGCGGUGAAAUGCGCAGAUAUCGGGAAGAACACCUAUGGCGAAGGCAGCUCUCUGGGACGGUACUGACGCUGAGACGCGAAAGCGUGGGGAGCAAACAGG